AGUAAGCGGCGCGAGCGUGCGAGUUUCUGACGCGCCCGCGUCGUCCCAGCUCCCUGGACUACCAGUAUUGUCGCCCACGUGGGCUUCUCUUUCGUCCGCUCAGGCCUCACUUUUCUCCGUAAACACCCCGGCACGAUGGAGCGGCCCCAGCGUUCGGGAGCGGCCCGGGAGCGGAAAGCGGCAGUGUCCUGGGAGCCUCGAAAGCCGCAGGGGCGGCAGCUCGCCUCGGAAUGACCUCUGACGGAAGAAAUAAAACGGGGCCUGGGACGCUUGCACGAAAGAACCCGACAAAAACCAGAGCCCGCACUCACUCUCGUACUGGGGAGGUGGACUUCAGGGAGGGUUAUCUGGAGGAGGAAUCUCUCAAAGUACAACACAGGAGAAAGACAGUAUCGCAAUACAGAAAUUUUAUUUUUUAUUUUAUUAUUAUUUUCCUGAGACCGGAGUCUCGCUCUGUCGCCCAGGCUGGAGUGCAGUGGCGCGAUCUCGGCUCACUGCAAACUCCGCCUCCCGGGUUCACGCCAUUCGGCUGCCUCACCCUCCACAGUAGCUGGGACUACAAGCGCCCGCCACCACGCCCGGCUAAUUUGCAAUACGGAAAUUUUAAUAGUCCACCGAGAGCCGCUUCAUGAGCAGAGACACGAACCCAGAGCCAGUGCCGCCCCCAAAGCUGUGGAAGAUGAGGAAGCCCUGCAGUCCCAUGCACAGAUCUGCCUGAGAGAAACCAGACAACGUAAGCCAAUGCCCGUGGGAGCCACACCACCAACCUCCACCAAGCCGGGGCCACUUCUCUUUGCCUCUGAGAGUUGAUACGGAUUCAGACCAUCCAUAAUGAACACGCAUCACACUUUGAAGCAGAGAAAAGCAGACAAUACAGAUCUAUGCACAAAUCACCACGCACACUUCACAGUAAGACGUUGCAGAGGUCUAGGAAGGCUGGUUUGAAGAAAUACACAGAAGAAAAACGGAUGGACUAACCAGAGCGCUCAGCCAGCCUGCUGGACUGGCACCCGUGGCUACAGACACUCUUGUUUAGCACCAUGGAGAGCUCCCUGCACAGAAGCAAGGACUCAGGGCAUUGCCCCCUCUCUACCUGAGAACUAGACUCAGCGCCCAGCACUGGAUUUGAUAAUACAGGUACUCAAAUA
rnacentral:lncRNA from 1 species